rnacentral:lncRNA from 1 species
AGGUACUUGAAACUCUUAUUCAGUGCUCACGGUAUAAAACUUCCAGGAUAUAAUAAACAUAAACUUAAUAAGGUUAUUACAUCAAAGUUCUUCUAAUCCCAGGUACGCAAACCUUUAAGCGUUUAUCAUAUGAUAGUUUAAUAUUUACAAACAUGAAAAUUAUCUAUUACAACACUCUUCAGCUAUUCUCCUAUUUUUUCUUUUCCCUUGUCUUUUCCAGACCCUUCUGCCCGAGUCUGCUCAGCUGAAAACAUUUAAUAAAACAAGUAUGAGCAUUUAAUUGCUCAGCAAGUAAUAGCAUUCUUUAAAGCUUAACAAGAAAUAAAUGUUUUCUUUGAAGCAUGCUUUGACAGUGAAUCAAAACUGUAAAGCAAUAAAUCUUGAAUCAUUCACAUUUUUGAAAUAUCAUAACAACAUCGAAUAACUGAGAGGUUUUAAGACCAUGAACAUAUUUUUCUUUUCUUGAAAAGGUUCAAUCAGAAAUAUUACCAGAUGAACCGUCUUAACUUACGAGCACGUAGGGUGAUCAGCCCUUUAUGCCCUGUAUUGAUCAAUACUAUCUUUUUCAGAACAAUUUUCAUGUUCCACAUCACCACUCCCAGAGUGCAAUAAAAAUAUCCCAUUUAAGGGUAUGUUCAUCCUCAGUUUUAGAUUCCAACUACAACAAUAUAGCUGGAUAGCUUAAAUCAUGGCACAAUAAUAUUUCAAGACUUAAUAUAAAGAAAUUGAAAUAUUUCACAGCUGUGUUUGGCCAGAAGAAAUGGCUCAGAUUUCUAUACAACCUGCUCAUGCAUAUGAUAAUAUCUUACCCAAUCUUUUGAAGAUGAUUGGAAUAAAAAUAUUAUUCAAUCUUAUAAUAUUCAUAAAUAAGGAAAGACAGUUCAGGAUUUAAAGAACCUGUCCACAUAUGAAUGAUCUCAGAAUACUUGCUCAAUAAAGAGUAAGAUUUAGAUACUUGCCUUGUUCGUAGACUAUUGAUUAAAUUCAGCUUAACUUGUGUAUUCUCACAGAUCCUACAUAAUUGUUUGCAUUCACAAUUAUGUCAACCAAAUAGCCAAGUCAUAUAGCUGGUAAGUUCAUGUAUUACAUAAUCACAGUGAUCAUAUGAAAUAUUUUUAUAUAUUUUUCAAAUAUCUCAUCCAUGUUAUUAUAACAAUCAUUUCUUUCUUUUAUAGGGUCUGAUAUAACUUCUGUUAUUACUUUUUUUACAUCAAAGAUAAUUUUCAUGGUAUUCGUUAAUUCUCCUUUUACUUCUUUUGUUUCCAUAAGUAUACAUUGCAAUCUGCUUUAUAACUUUAGUAUUCAAGGUGAAUACCUAAGGUAUUUCAUGUUUCACAAGGUAACUUUAUAGCAAAUCUUACAUAUCAAAGGUAAUUUCCACUUGAAUAGUUAUUCUUUGGCAUUUUCAUGAUUUAUAGACUCAUUCUGGUAUGCCAUUUCAUUACAAAUUCUUGUUUUACUUUGAAAUGCUAAAACAAUCUUUUGAGGUUUAAUAGUACUGAACUCAGUUUAGUACUUCCAAUAUUGGCCAUUUAUUCAUAUGAUAGUUCUUAUUAUUGAGUUUAUUAACUUAUAAAAUUUUUGAGUAUAUUCUAGAUUUAUUUAUAUACAUAUUUUACCAUUUCAUUAAAACAGCUAUUUUAAGCCUUUUUCUUUAAAAUCUAACCUUUUCAUUAUCGAUCUAAUAACAUUAAAUCAUGGGUUUGGUAAAAGUCCCCUCUUGCUUGCUCAGUUGGGGAAAAAUUAUAAACCCUUUCUUAUAGCUAUAUCAUUAGCUAAGCCUUGAUAUGGUUUUGGUUGGCCCCUUAGGCCCCAAAUCAGACCCAACGCUGCUAUUGCAGCUGUUAACUUGCUAACUGCUGCUGCAAAUGAGCAACAUCCCUGUCAUUCUUCUUUAACUCCUAUACUUGCAAACCCCAAAGGAAAGUCUAUAUACUGGUUUAUAAAACUAACUUAAACCAUGCUUGAUAGCUAGCUCUAUAAAAUUAUAUUAAUUCAUCAAAACAGGCUGCCCAAACUGCUAUAGUAGCAGCUUGCAGCUACCUGCUGCAGUGCAUUAGAACCAUUUUUGCAAUUAGUAGCAGCAGCCCCUUCUCCCCUUGCUCUUUGCUUCAAACCACUUCACAUCCUAGCUCACUAGUUUAGUCACUACGAGUUUUUAGUGUGCUAUAGAUAAGGCAACAACACAAACUACUGCCUUAAAGCCAAUUAGAAACUCUCAGUCAUUGCACAUCUGGUCUACUGCUGCUACUUAGGCAGCAGCCUUUAGCCGAACAUGGCUAUUUUUUUUAUUAAUCUCAUGCUUCUAACCACAUGAUGAUUUACCUCCCUUUUUAAAUAUAUAGUAUAUAGCAUAAGAGAGUAUAUCUAGAAAUUAUAAAACCUCUAUUUCAAGCUUGCUAGGCAGCCCAACUCAACACUCAAAGUUGCCUUGAUAUACCAUUUUUUUCAAUUUUUCAUAUUAGCUUGAAUUUGAGUUUCAUUUCACUCUAAUAUAUUUAAACUUGUUAAUUAUCAUCACAUGAAACACAGGAAUCAAAUCCCCAAGCUUUAAUUCUAUCAAAUUAGCAGUUGUUAAGCAAAACAGUCCAUUGAGAACUUUUAUCAAACACCUUACAGGCACUGUUUUGCAACACAAGUAUCAAAGCUAUUUAUUUGCUUAAAAAUCCCAGUUUGGCUCCCUUAUUACUCCACAGCCCACUUAUCUCUUCUAAUUUAGUUCCAGCCAUAAGCAAAUCCACAAUGCAAUCGAAUUUCUAUUUAAAUAACUAUCACAUACAAAUUAGUUAGUUUAAUGCCCCUUGUGAGCCAUCAUAUCUGAUUUUUAAUUUAAUCAGCAUGUAUUGGUAUGAUCCUCGUACAAGUCACAAUUCACAAUUCGCAAUUCACAUCACAAUAUUCUAUAACAUCUACCUACAUAACUAAUCAAAACGAUAAAGAAAGAAACACAAUUUCUUUACCUUACACUUGCUUAUACCCGAAUGGCUGCACUGGACUAGUAAGGAAGCUCGGCUAAACUAAACAGGGAAGAGUCCAGGUAGUAACUUAGUCAGGAAAGGAGUCGGUUGAGAGAAAAGGUGUGCAGGGAGUUACAUGGAGUUCUUUGCUUGGCUUUGUCUUUAAUUCAUACUUGAGCAAUACGUAUUGUAGCCUUACUGAGUUGAUAGCCUAUACAAUUCUCCAUUUUACACCUCCUGCUAAUAUUACUUGAAGGUUACUCCUUCAACUAAAACCUCCCAGCACAUGCUCUCCUUCUUUAACUAAUAAGUUUUUUUUUUAAAACUAUGUUUGGUUAGAAUAACCAAUUAUCUCCCGCUCCGUACAUAUCGCAUAACAAUUACUGUAUUUAUAAAAAA